UCAAUUCCCCAAACUCCACUCACCUCAUUAUUGUUUGAUUUGCCCCAGCUGUGUUCCUGAUUGCUGUCCCUACUUAAGCUCCCUGUGUUUUCUGUUCUGGGCUCGUUUGUCUCACUUUUGCCAGGUAUGCCUGUGAUUUAUGUCUGCCCUGUGCCUCGUGUAUGUCUUGUUUUCAGUGCUUGUGUUUUCUCUGGCUUUUUCCCCUUCGGGGUGGUUUCAGUUGUGUUUUUGUUUAUUUUGUAAAUUGUUAAUAAAGAAGAUUCCUUUUGCCAGCAUUUGAGUCUUCGUCUCUCCCAUCCCGUGACAUUUUUAGAUGAAGACUGCUCUCAGAGCUUGCCAGCAUCUUUCUGGUCUGUCUACGAAGCGGCCGCAAGACACAAGGCCUCAACAUGAAAAGCGAGUCUCUGUUACAACUAUUACUUAUAAAAUGACGCAUGGAUGAUGUGAUGGAUGC